UCGAGAAUCUUCGGCAAUGGGCGCAAGCCUGACCGAGCGACGCCGCGUGCGAGAUGAAGGCCUUCGGGUUGUAAAUCGCUGUCAGAGGGGAGGAAAUGCCGGUGGGUUCUCCCAUCGGUUUGACCUAUCCUCAGAGGAAGGACGGGCUAAGUUCGUGCCAGCAGCCGCGGUAAGACGAACCGUCCAAACGUUAUUCGGAAUCACUGGGCUUAAAGGGUGCGUAGGCGGUCCGGGAAGUUGGGUGUGAAAGCCCUCAGCUCAACUGAGGAAUUGCGCCCAAAACUGCCGGACUUGAGGGAGACAUAGGUGAGCGGAACUUAGGGUGGAGCGGUGAAAUGCGUUGAGAUCCUAAGGAACACCAGUAGCGAAAGCGGCUCACUGGGUCUCUUCUGACGCUGAUGCACGAAAGCUAGGGUAGCAAACG
rnacentral:rRNA from 1 species